CGACCGUACCGCAAACCGACACUGGUGCGCGAGAUGAGUAUUCUAAGGCGCUUGAGAGAACUCAGGAGAAGGAACUCGGCAAAUUGACACCGUAACUUCGGAAGAAGGUGUGCCUUUAGUAGGUGAAGUCCCUCGCGGAUGGAGCCCAAUGAGGUUAAAAAAAAAAUCGGUGGCUGCGACUGUUUAUUAAAAACACAGCACUCUGCAAACACGAAAGUGGACGUAUAGGGUGUGACGCCUGCCCGGUGCUGGAAGAUUAAAUGAUGGGGUGCAAGCUCUUGAUUGAAGUCCCAGUAAACGGCGGCCGUAACAAUAACGGUCCUAAGGUAGCGAAAUCCCUUGUCGGGUAAGUUCCGACCUGCACGAAUGGCGUAACGAUGGCCACACUGUCUCCUCCUGAGACUCAGCGAAGUUGAAAUGUUUGUGAUGAUGCAAUCUCCCCGCGGAAAGACGGAAAGACCCCAUGAACCUUUACUGUAGCUUUGUAUUGGACUUUGAACAGAUCUGUGUAGGAUAGGUGGGAGGCUUUGAAGCAGGGUCGCUAGAUCUUGUGGAGCCAACGUUGAAAUACCACCCUGGUGUGUUUGAGGUUCUAACCUAGGCCCGUAAUCCGGGUUGGGGACAGUGCAUGGUAGGCAGUUUGACUGGGGCGGUCUCCUCCCAAAGUGUAACGGAGGAGUUCGAAGGUACGCUAGUUACGGUCGGACAUCGUGACGAUAGUGCAAUGGCAUAAGCGUGCUUAACUGCGAGACUGACAAGUCGAGCAGAUGCGAAAGCAGGACAUAGUGAUCCGGUGGUUCUGUAUGGAAGGGCCAUCGCUCAACGGAUAAAAGGUACUCUGGAUAACAGGCUGAUACCGCCCAAGAGUUCAUAUCGACGGCGGUGUUUGGCACCUCGAUGUCGGCUCAUCUCAUCCUGGGGCUGUAGCCGGUCCCAAGGGUAUGGCUGUUCGCCAUUUAAAGAGGUACGUGAGCUGGGUUUAAAACGUCGUGAGACAGUUUGGUCCCUAUCUUCCGUGGGCGCUGCAGAUUUGAGGAAGCCUGCUCCUAGUACGAGAGGACCGGAGUGGACGCACCUCUGGUGUAUCGGUUGUCACGCCAGUGGCAUUGCCGAUUAGCUAUGUGCGGAAGAGAUAACCGCUGAAAGCAUCUAAGCGGGAAACUCGUUUCAAGAUGAGAUCUGCCGGGGCCUUGAGCCCCCUGAAGAGUCGUUCAAGACCAGGACGUUGAUAGGUCGGGUGUGGAAGCGCAGUAAUGCGUUAAGCUAACCGAUACUAAUUGCUCGUGCGGCUUGACC
rnacentral:rRNA from 1 species